AUAUGGCCAAUAUACCACGGCUAAGGGCUGUGUCCAGGCACUCCGCGUUGUGUCGUGCUUAGAACAACCCUUAGCCGUGGUAUAUUGGCCAUAUACCACACCUCGACGGGCCUUAUUGCUUAAAUAUCGUACAUAUUCUUGCUUUGAACUUCUAACAGGAGUGGGACGGGUGCGAUCAUUGUCACGCAGACACAAGAGCAGCUGCUCACCGAUUUGACCGCUCAAACACAGUUCCGACACCGCCAAAACAUCAGCUGUGCGGGUGUCAGCUAUCGCCAGUUAAUGCUUGAUUAGCCCUCGUUUUGAUGAUGUGUUGAUAUCAUGGGAUGGUCAGUCGUUGCAUCCACAGCUCUGUCUAUUCAUUUGAGAGUGGUUACAUUUCUCUAGGUCCAUCCCUCAGCUUUUAACCAAACAGAGGUGGGGUGACCACUUUGUUUCAGAUACAGAUUCUAGCUUUAAGGUGAUUUGAUUUAUAUCUAUUUUGACUUAUAAACCAUACAAAUAAAGUAUGAAUCCGCUGCAC